rnacentral:rRNA from 1 species
GGGUACGGUCGAUGCUUACACAUGCAGUCGAUUCAAGUUACCUUCGGGUAAUGAGGAUGGCGGACGGGUGAGUAACGCGUAAGGAACUUGCCUCUUGGACUGGGACAACUGUUGGAAACGACAGCUAAUACCGGAUAUUAUGAGAUUCUCGCAUGAGAAACUUAUGAAAGCUAUAUGCGCCAAGAGAGAGCCUUGCGUUCCAUUAGCUAGUUGGUGGGGUAACGGCCCACCAAGGCGACGAUGGAUAGCCGGCCUGAGAGGGUGAACGGCCACAAGGGGACUGAGACACGGCCCUUACUCCUACGGGAGGCAGCAGUGGGGAAUAUUGGACAAUGGGCCACAAGCCUGAUCCAGCAAUUCUGUGUGCACGAUGAAGGUCUUCGGAUUGUAAAGUGCUUUCAGUUGGGAAGAAGAAAGUGACGGUACCAACAGAAGAAGCGACGGCUAAAUACGUGCCAGCAGCCGCGGUAAUACGUAUGUCGCAAGCGUUAUCCGGAUUUAUUGGGCGUAAAGCGCGUCUAGGCGGAAAAAUAAGUCUGAUGUUAAAAUGCGGGGCUCAACUCCGUAUUGCGUUGGAAACUGUUUUUCUAGAGUACUGGAGAGGUGGGCGGAACUACAAGUGUAGAGGUGAAAUUCGUAGAUAUUUGUAGGAAUGCCGAUGGAGAAGUCAGCUCACUGGACAGACACUGACGCUGAAGCGCGAAAGCGUGGGGAGCAAACAGGAUUAGAUACCCUGGUAGUCCACGCCGUAAACGGUGAUCACUAGGUGUUGGGGGUCGAACCUCAGCGCCCAAGCUAACGCGAUAAGUGAUCCGCCUGGGGAGUACGCACGCAAGUGUGAAACUCAAAGGAAUUGACGGGGACCCGCACAAGCGGUGGAGCAUGUGGUUUAAUUCGACGCAACGCGAGAAACCUUACCAGCGUUUGACAUCCUAAGAAGGUUCCAGAGAUGGAUUCGUGCCGGCUUGCCGGAACUUAGUGACAGGUGGUGCAUGGCUGUCGUCAGCUCGUGUCGGGAGAUGUUGGGUUAGGUCCCGCAACGAGCGCAACCCCUAUUGUUUGUUGCUACCUUUAGGUGGAGGCCUCGGGCGAAACGGCCUGCGAGUAGGAGGAGGAGGUUUUGGAAGAGUGCGAUGAGUGGG